AGGAUGAACGCUGGCGGCGUGCUUAACACAUGCAAGUCGAACGAUGAAGCGGAGCUUGCUCUGUGGAUUAGUGGCGAACGGGUGAGUAACACGUGAGUAACCUGCCCUUGACUCUGGGAUAAGCACUGGAAACGGUGUCUAAUACCGGAUACGAGCUUCAGCCGCAUGGCUAGGAGUUGGAAAGAAUUUCGGUCAAGGAUGGACUCGCGGCCUAUCAGGUAGUUGGUGAGGUAAUGGCCCACCAAGCCUACGACGGGUAGCCGGCCUGAGAGGGUGACCGGCCACACUGGGACUGAGACACGGCCCAGACUCCUACGGGAGGCAGCAGUGGGGAAUAUUGCACAAUGGGCGCAAGCCUGAUGCAGCAACGCCGCGUGAGGGACGACGGCCUUCGGGUUGUAACCUCUUUAGUAGGAAGAAGCGAAAGUGACGGUACCUGCAGAAAAGCACCGGCUAACUACGUGCCAGCAGCCGCGGU
rnacentral:rRNA from 1 species